rnacentral:misc_RNA from 1 species
GAUGAAGAACGCAGCGAAAUGCGAUAAGUAAUGUGAAUUGCAGAAUUCAGUGAAUCAUCGAAUCUUUGAACGCACCUUGCGCCCCUUGGUUAUUCCAAAGGGCAUGCCUGUUUGAGUAUCAUGAACACCUCAACUCUUGUGGUUUCCCACAAUGAGCUUGGACUGUGGAGGUUUUGUUGGCCCUGUGGUCAGCUCCUCUCAAAUGGAUCAGCUUACCGGUGUUUGGUGGCAUUACGGGUGUGAUACCUAUCUACGCUCGUGGUCGUCUCCAAAUAACCUCCAGUGAUGGAGGUUCGCUGGAGCUUAUAAAUGUCUCUCCCCAGUGAAGACAGCCUUUGAACGUUCGAUCUCAAAUCAGGUAGGACUACCCGCUGAACUUAAGCAUAUCAAUAAGCGGAGGA